AACGAACGCUGGCGGCAGGCUUAACACAUGCAAGUCGAGCGCCCCGCAAGGGGAGCGGCAGACGGGUGAGUAACGCGUGGGAAUCUACCGAGCCCUGCGGAAUAGCUCCGGGAAACUGGAAUUAAUACCGCAUACGCCCUACGGGGGAAAGAUUUAUCGGGGUUUGAUGAGCCCGCGUUGGAUUAGCUAGUUGGUGGGGUAAUGGCCUACCAAGGCGACGAUCCAUAGCUGGUCUGAGAGGAUGAUCAGCCACAUUGGGACUGAGACACGGCCCAAACUCCUACGGGAGGCAGCAGUGGGGAAUAUUGGACAAUGGGGGCAACCCUGAUCCAGCCAUGCCGCGUGAGUGAUGAAGGCCUUAGGGUUGUAAAGCUCUUUCACCGGUGAAGAUAAUGACGGUAACCGGAGAAGAAGCCCCGGCUAACUUCGUGCCAGCAGCCGCCGUAACAC
rnacentral:rRNA from 1 species